GAUUUUUCAUCGGAUAAAUCUAAAACGUAAUAUUUUUUUCCCGAAACGGUCAGAAAAAUUUCUUUUUUGGCUAUAAAAACUAACUAAAUUUGGUAUAUUUUUUUGCCGAAAAAUAAUCGGAAAAAUAUUACCUUUUGUCAGAAAAAAUUCAAUUCUGUGAAGAAAAUGAACUAAAUUGGGCUGAAAUAUAUCUAAGAAUGUUUGCUUAAAAAAUCAAAAAAAAAGCAAAUUCUGUCGACAAAUGUUCUACUUUGGAGAGAAAUAUUUCCAAAAAAACAAGAGACAUUUUUGUCAGAAAAUAAUCCAAAAUGUCAGACCGAAAGAAUUUUUAUCAAAUUUAAAUGUGUCAUGAAUGAAGUUUGAACAUUUAAAUGAAACGUUUGCGUGUGUUUUAUGUUCGAUUCGGUUUCCAACUGGUUUGAUUCAAGUGGAAUUUGUAAUAGGUCAUCGGUUUUACCAUUUUAUGAUAAUGUAAUACAAUUGACGCAUGAACUGAUAAAUAAAUCGGCGAUGAUUGACUAUAUUUUGCGUCACCAGAACAAGAAUAAAAAAAAAUCUUUCGUUGAUGCUCAAAAAUGUUCUCAAGAAUGCGAAGCGAACAAAAUGAAAUCGUUAGGAGUUUCUUGUAAAACCGAUAAACGAUGUGAGUCAUUAAAAAUUCAACCCGCAUUUUGACUAUUCAUCGGAUAACGACGCAAAAGAUGAAGAUAAAAAGAAAAAUUAAAGGAAAAAUGAAAUUUCAAAUACGCAUAACAAUCGAUUUUGCUUCAAAUGCUUUUAGCUUUAUUUCAGAGAAUUUAAUUGUCGUACAUACAAUGGAACUUGGACACAUUUAGAAUAAGCCAUUUCAAUCAUCUAUUUUGCAGUUUUUUUUUGAUUUAAUUUGUUUUUUAAAUUUUGCAGUGAAUUUUUAGGCCCCUCUCUCUAUUUAUUAUCUUACAUACAUAGAAUAAUUUUAUGGCCUCAUGCCGUCCAUUUUUACCGUUCUAUAAUUGGUUUUUUCUGCUUAAAAUCAACAUUGAAAUAAAGUUCCUGUUUGUAUGUGCUUUUUUUGUUUAAAAUAACGUCAAAAAUGCUUAAAAUUAUUAUUGUCAAAUAACAUCUCGUAUCAUUUGUUUUUUUCAUUUAUAUAUUUGAAUAUAUACUGCAGAUGUGUGCGUUGAGAGAAAAUCUCAAUCUGUUCUCUCUAUCUUAGUGCUUUAUUUAUCGUCUUGUAUAUAAUAAUUUACAUAGAAUGCAUUUGUUUUCAAUGAUAAACUACGAUGGGACAUUUUCAUCAAAACGAAUAACAAUUAAUUUUAAUAUUGGCUUGUUAAUUUUGAGUGUGUGUGUAAGUGUAUGGGGUCGUGGGAAUGUGGGUGUGUGUAUAUAUGUGGGGGGAGGGAGAUUUAAAACAACCAAAUUUCAUUAAAAAUCAAUUCAUUCCUUAAAAAUGAUCAAAAUAAAAUAUUUUGAACUUUUCACUAAAGCUAUGGCUGUUGAAACUAUUCGUUGUGCUUUUAUCAACAAGCUCAAAAUAUUUAUCCAUUACGUCAUAGAAUGUUGUUAUUGUUGUGAUAUAAAUGCUUCUUUUUGUUUUGUUGUCUGAUGUGUAUGUAUCAACUUAAACAGAACUUAAACUUUAAUCGCUUGUUUUUAAUCGUCUUUUUGUUUUGUUAUGUUUGGUUUUGUUUUGUUUUUUUUUUUUAACUAAAUCACACUGUAAAUUAAUGGAAAUGCGUUAGUUGCUGUCCAGGAACAAAAUCGUCUCCCAUGAGAAAAUCAAACGGAAUGAAUUAGGGUUCAAGUUGCUUUUUUGCCUUGUCUUUUGGAUAACAGUUCACAAUUAUGUAGUUACGCAGUAAAUGGUAUGAUAGUAGCCUAAUGAGAUUUUGUGUUGUUGCCGUGGUGGUGGUGAUGGUGAUUGAUGACGCUGUUGCCAUCCCCAUGAAAAUUGGUGUAAAAAUUGCAAUUAUAACGAUGUACCGGUCGAUAUUACUGUUUCGUUCGGCAGACGGAAAUUUAAACCUGAGCCGGUUUUAUCUUUCCAACAACCAUCAUCAACUUUUGAAGACAUCUCGUUAAGCUUACUGUAAAUAGAUAUAUGAAUACCGAUUAGUGAGUUAUAUUGCAAACGAACGAAUACCAGAACAGGCAUUUGUCACAUGGCGCUAUCUGAUUAUAAGAGAUGAACGAGCCUCUCAUAAUUUUGACAGAAUUUUGACUACAGAUUACACCACUUAUGCACUAUUUUAAUUCAUUCAACCAGAUCCGUGAUCUUUUUGAAGAAGAUCAUUUCCGCACACAUAAACAAAACAGAAAUAAACAUGUGGUGCUAAUGCUAUGUGCUAAUCAUAUUCUCAUUUGCAAGUGCUUCGACGAAGAGGUAUCGCGCUUUUUUUUCGAAUAGUACUGGCGAAAAAACUUGAUCCUUUCUUAACUACUGUGCUUCAGUAUACAAACAGGUAACAAUUAUUCGAAUAACACAAACUCACCCGUUUAUUGUCAAAUUUUGAACUAUUGUAGAGCGCCGUGGAUUUCGUACGGCAAAAUUCAGUACUAAUUGGUGUGAUUUCGUGGUAUUUCACAAUAUGUCGAAAUCACUUACGGCUAUUUACAGCUCAAUCACACCAAUAAGUACUGAAUUUUGCCGCACGAAAUCUACGUCGCCCCACAAUUUCACACUUCGUUUUCUGUAUACAAUCAAUGCGAGAUUAUAAGUGUGUGCACAAACUUCACAUAGCAAAGAGAGUGACUCGAAUUUCGAUAAAAAUUCUGUGACCGUGUAUUUUUGACCGAUUUCUAGUCUAGAAAUUCUAGAUUGUUGGCUAAGGUUUUGGUUUCGAUUCAAGCUGUUCAACUUUGUCUAAAAACUAUUGAUAAAGCUAUUAGAAACUAAUUGCUAUUCAAUUUAUUGAAACUAAUCUAAUAUUUGAAAUUGAAAAGCAAAACCAUGUGCAAAACCUACAAUCAAAUCUCAUCAUGUGAUAGAAUAGAUAAAUAUGUAAACUGUCGAGAACAAGAGGCUGAACUUAGCAUUUUUGACUUUACACGGUUCAGCUGUGAGUUUUUAUGAUUGAAAUUUAUUUAUUACUUCCUGGUUGCUAUUGGUAAAUAACGGCCAAUUUAUGUUGUUUAGAAUAAAUUUAAUCCGAGGUGUAAAAUGGAUUUUCGUCAGAAGACCAAAUUUUUCGAUAAAUGAUUUCUCGAUGAGAAAUUGAUGCUAAACUCCAUUCCGGCUAUUAAUAAUGUUAAAAGUAUUUCAAAUAUUUUUUCACACCAAGACAUUUGAAAA